rnacentral:rRNA from 1 species
UUGAACGCUGGCGGCAGGCCUAACACCUGCAAGUCGAGCGGAUGAAGGGAGCUUGCUCCUGGAUUCAGCGGCGGACGGGUGAGUAAUGCCUAGGAAUCUGCCUGGUAGUGGGGGAUAACGUCCGGAAACGGGCGCUAAUACCGCAUACGUCCUGAGGGAGAAAGUGGGGGAUCUUCGGACCUCACGCUAUCAGAUGAGCCUAGGUCGGAUUAGCUAGUUGGUGGGGUAAAGGCCUACCAAGGCGACGAUCCGUAACUGGUCUGAGAGGAUGAUCAGUCACACUGGAACUGAGACACGGUCCAGACUCCUACGGGAGGCAGCAGUGGGGAAUAUUGGACAAUGGGCGAAAGCCUGAUCCAGCCAUGCCGCGUGUGUGAAGAAGGUCUUCGGAUUGUAAAGCACUUUAAGUUGGGAGGAAGGGCAGUAAGUUAAUACCUGGCUGUUUUGACGUUACCAACAGAAUAAGCACCGGCUAACUUCGU